GGCAGUUCUUGGUGAUGCACCCUGGAACCGGCCUCCUCCUCUCUGGUUCUUGGUGCGUCACCCCAAGAACCACA
rfam:Myotis lucifugus cont2.25576, whole genome shotgun sequence.